UUUAAACACAGUCAUAAGUUUUCGUAUCCAAUUUUGAUCAUCUGUCUUAUUUAAAAAUGUUUAUGAUUAGUAUUUUUAUUGUUAAUAGAUGAUAAAACAUGAAUAGUACUUUAUGCGUGACUUAUGUUUUUAAUAUUUUUUUUAAAAGAAUCAAAUAAGACGGCCGAUCAAAGUUGGAUACGGUCCAUAUGGAAACUCAUGACUGCGAUUAAA
rfam:Oryza glaberrima chromosome 6 Oglab06_0048_29, whole genome shotgun sequence.